AGAUUAUUCUCUCUUUUUUCCUCUUUCAAAGAAUGAGAUGACAAAUGAUAUGCUCUAGAAAACACAUUUUAUUCCAAGAGAUCAGAGGAGUACUCUUCUAAUUUCAAGAAUUUCUUACAAUUUAAGUGUUCAUUCGAUGAAACUGAAAGGUAUGAAAGAUCUUUUUACUAUGAAGGUGAUGGACAAAUUCAUAAUGCUCACCGUAAUAAGUCCUUACUUCCCCGCAGGCCCAACACAGUUACAAUCAUCCUUCAAAAUCAUCUUGAAAUUUUCGUGCACCAUUCAAACUGUUGCUGAAAUAGUUCGAGAAUCAAUACUUCUGUGUAUUUGUUCAUGAUUAUCCGGGAGAUUGAACACAACUGAAAAAUGCAUCUGCUAUUGUAGAAUUUAUAAAUAGUAUAUAUGUAACAGUGUAAAUAGGCAACAAUUAUGAUACGUGAAUAUCGUGAGCAUCCAGUAGUAUGAUAUUUCUUUUGUUGUAUAAAGCAUGUAUUUGGGAUUUA